UUAUUACAUUACAAGCGAUACCUCAAAUUCCAAAAAUGCUCCUCUAGUCCCGAGCUUGGUAAAUAAGGCCGUGGGAAAUUUUUUUCUUCCGGCCUUUAAGUGAUAGGGGGGAGUCACUCUUGCGUUCUCUCUCUUGGGUAGGUCAGUCUCGCUCUCUCUUGUCGGUAAGUAUAUCUGUUAUGGUAUUGCUGUCGUGCCGUUCCAGUAGUGUUUGUUAAUUUGUAGUUUUGAGGGGGGGAAUGAAAAAAGGUAAAUAAAGACCUUAGCCAAAAGCAAGGGAUUCCCGGGGCCCGAACGAGAGCAGAGGCAGCAGGGCAGGUAUUCUCAAAAAAGAAAGAAACGAAAACAGGCAGGGAGGUAAGAGCGAGUAAGACUAGGU
rnacentral:lncRNA from 1 species